rnacentral:piRNA from 1 species
GACAAUGGAACGAAUUAUAUAGGUGCU